rnacentral:rRNA from 1 species
CCUACGGGAGGCAGCAGUGAGGAAUAUUGGUCAAUGGGCGCUAGCCUGAACCAGCCAAGUAGCGUGAAGGAUGACUGCCCUAUGGGUUGUAAACUUCUUUUAUAUGGGAAUAAAGUGCAGUAUGUAUACUGCUUUGCAUGUACCUUAUGAAUAAGGAUCGGCUAACUCCGUGCCAGCAGCCGCGGUAAUACGGAGGAUCCGAGCGUUAUCCGGAUUUAUUGGGUUUAAAGGGAGCGUAGGCGGGUUGUUAAGUCAGUUGUGAAAGUUUGCGGCUCAACCGUAAAAUUGCAGUUGAUACUGGCAGCCUUGAGUACAGUAGAGGUAGGCGGAAUUCGUGGUGUAGCGGUGAAAUGCUUAGAUAUCACGAAGAACUCCGAUUGCGAAGGCAGCCUGCUGGACUGUAACUGACGCUGAUGCUCGAAAGUGUUGGUAUCAAACAGGAUUAGAUACCCCAGUAGUC